UACGUAGGGGGCUAGCGUUGUCCGGAAUCAUUGGGCGUAAAGCGCGUGUAGGCGGUUCGGUAAGUCCGCUGUGAAAGUCGGGGGCUCAACCCUCGAAUGCCGGUGGAUACUGUCGAACUAGAGUGCGGAAGAGGCGAGUGGAAUUCCUGGUGUAGCGGUGAAAUGCGCAGAUAUCAGGAGGAACACCAAUUGCGAAGGCAGCUCGCUGGGGCGUAACUGACGCUGAGACGCGAAAGCGUGGGGAGCAAACAGG
rnacentral:rRNA from 1 species